rnacentral:rRNA from 1 species
UACGUAGGGGGCAAGCGUUGUCCGGAAUCAUUGGGCGUAAAGCGCGCGUAGGUGGCCUCAUAAGUCCGCUGUGAAAGUCAAAGGCUCAACCUUUGAAAGCCGGUGGAUACUGUGAGGCUAGAGUACGGAAGAGGCGAGUGGAAUUCCUGGUGUAGCGGUGGAAUGCGCAGAUAUCAGGAGGAACACCAAUAGCGAAGGCAGCUCGCUGGGACGUUACUGACACUGAGGCGCGAAAGCGUGGGGGAGCGAACAGG